CCUACGGGAGGCAGCAGUGGGGAAUAUUGCGCAAUGGGCGAAAGCCUGACGCAGCGACGCCGCGUGAGGGAUGAAGGUCUUCGGAUCGUAAACCUCUGUCAGCAGGGAAGAACGGUCACUGUGCUAAUCAGCAGUGAAUUGACGGUACCUGCAAAGGAAGCACCGGCUAACUCCGUGCCAGCAGCCUCGGUAAUGCGGAGGGUGCGAGCGUUAAUCGGAAUUACUGGGCGGAAAGCGAUAGUAGGCGGUAUGUCAAGUCAAGGGUGAAGUCCCCGGGCUCAACCUGGGAACUGCCUUUGAAACUGGCAACCUGGAGUGUGUUAGAGGAAAGUGGAAUUCCAGGUGUAGGAGUGAAAUCCGUAGAUAUCUGGAGGAACAUCAGUGGCGAAGGCGACUAUCUGGCACAUAACUGACGCUGAGGAGCGAAAGCGUGGGUAGCAAACAGGAUUAGAUACCCUUGUAGUC
rnacentral:rRNA from 1 species